CAUCUGCUAACCAUGUGACCAUUAACAUCUGCUAACCAUGUGUAUGUGACCAACACAAUUUGAUUUGAGAAGCUUUUCCAAAUCACUCCCUUGAGUGCUGGGGAUACCCUUUCCUGCUGGGCCCUCAGGUCAUUUGUGCCCGUGUGGCUGGGGUACCCUAGUCUGUCCUUUCUCUGUCUCUGUCUCUGUCUCUCCCACAAUCUCUCCCCCCCCUCUCUUUUUCUAGUUCUCCCCUUCUCUCUCGCUCUCUGAUGUUGCUAUACUAUUGCUAUUGUAUUCUAUUUGGACACGGUCUCUAUGGAAGUCAAUGUGUCAGUCAAUGUGACUUCUUCUUCGAUGGGUCGUCGAGUGGUUGAGGAGAGUGUCAAUUGGCUAGUAGGAGAACAGAAGAUUGUCCUCGCCUCCUCGAUAGCAAUCUUUCCACCGAGGAAAGAUUUCCACCGUCUAAAUAUCUUUAUAAUACUUAUUUUUUUAUGUGCUGACUGGCGCCCUCUAGCUGUAAAAGGAAGCAACAGCAGGGGGGCCUGAUUUGCUGUAAACCUAAUAACCUGGAUUGGACCUGUUUGUUUACUUAUAUCGUGUCUCCUAGAGAUUUAAAUGGAUUGUAGAGGAGCUUACCUCUCUCUCUUCUCUCCCCUCUCUUCUCUCCUCCCCCCCCUCCCUCUCUCUCUGUCUCGUGGGAUUAACGUGCGGUCGAGUAUGGGGCAGGUUCCAAGGGAGAGGAAGACAGGAAGAGAAGGAAGAGAGACAGAUCUUUGAAGGAGAGCGAGAGAGCGAGACGGUGUUGAGUCGGACGUACAGAAAACAGGAGAAUAAAACGAGCUGAGGAUCUACCUGAACAAGGUCCUCCAUAUUGAAAAGGCACCUGUCAUCUUUGACCAUGUCUAAGGACCAGUGUGACUCCGUAGCAGUGAGCGUCGAGUCCCUCUUAACCGACGCAGUUAAGAUGCAGUCCCAGUGUCGGGAGCGUAGUGAGCAGCUAGCUGUGGCCGCCGCCGCUCUGCGGGAGGAGUCGGCUUGCUUGAGAGAACAGUGUCAAGCCACCCAGCUGGAUAUGGCCCGGAUGAGAAGGCAGCUAGAAGAACUGCUGGAUACCAAAGCUCAGAUGGAGGCCAGUGAUAGAAUGCACCGCAAACUCAGCAGGACACUCUAAAUGGAAGAGAAGGAAGAGGGGAGAGAGAGGUAGAGAGAGAGAGGAGAGAAAGAGGUAGAGAGAGAGAGAAAGGAGAGAAAGAGGUAGAGAGAGAGAGGAGAGA